UACGGGGGGAGCAAGCGUUGUUCGGAUUUACUGGGCGUAAAGGGCGCGUAGGCGGUCAGCACAAGUCAGUUGUGAAAUCUCCGGGCUUAACUCGGAAAGGUCAACUGAUACUGUGCGACUAGAGUGCAGAAGGGGCAACUGGAAUUCUCGGUGUAGCGGUGAAAUGCGUAGAUAUCGAGAGGAAUACCUGCGGCGAAGGCGGGUUGCUGGGCUGACACGUGACG
rnacentral:rRNA from 1 species